GUUAUGAGUAAUGUGGUCACCAACAGUGGAAAAAGUAUUUUUACCAUUCAGCAUAAUCUAGCUAAGAGAGGUGUAGCACAGGGUGAGGUGGUUACAAAGCAAUGUGGAGCAUGCCCAAUCUGAUUACGACAGCUGGCACUCAUCAGCUUUAUAUUCAGUACUGUUUAGCUAUAAAUAGAGUUGUAAUGUUAGUUUCUUUUCCAAGUUAACAUUCUCUGUUUUGUAACAAACUGUUUCCUGAGAGCUCAAUACAUACAGUUUUCUUUCUGAUUACAUCUGAAUCUAUCAAAGUGACAGUCCUGCUCCCGAUUUAUGCCCGAAAGGAUUUAUCUGCUGGAUUUACCUAAUAGCAUGGUCUAACAUAUGGAGCUCUUCUUUCGAUGGAGUUAACCGCGGUCAUAGAUUUAAACUUUCGUAAAUAACCCGUUAAGGACCAGCGUCACCGGGUCGUAGGCUUAGGGAGUUAGGGUUCAUGUUUACCCUUCUAGAACAAUUAUGAAAGAUGGCGGCGGCGUUUAGCCAUUGUACAGGAGCGAAGGACAGCAACGUGGCUCCUGAUUCUCCUCUUUAUACUCAUUGUUUGACACAACUCCUCAAACCCAUGUAUGUGGUCUUUAGUACUUCUGUUAAUCUGUUUGUGUGUGUGUGUGUGUGUAUAAUAUAUUGUAUCUCCCACUGAUCUUAGUAAAGAGAGUAGUUUAGAGUUGACUUGAAGUUGUCAAGUGAAGUGUUAAUUCUUAGAUGUGUACUAUUUAUCCCGACUUGGCUGAAAGUGACGAUACGUGUUCAAGUGUUGAUGUUCAAUUUUUUGUAUGUUAGGCCUAAAUAAAGGAUGAAGAAAAUUGAUUAAUCCAGGUAAUCGAGCUAUAAUUGAUAUGGUUGAAAGAUGUUUGUGAGAGACUUUAGCCCGUUUGUCAUAGUGCCCCCAAAAUUGAUAUUCUUCAAGGUGUAGUACUUUUGUCGGUGCUUGUGAAUAAUGUAGCCCAACUAAGGUCUAAGCAACGACAAAGGUAUUACACUUGAGGCAUAUCUGUUCGGGAUUGAUUCUGCUUCUUCCGGUGAUCAUCUACAGAAUGGGGCAGGAUACCCUCUCUGAGUAGAGAAUGGAUCAAACAGGGGCCAUAUGUUGCUUUUCCUAAAGGUCUUGUUACUGAAGGCCAUAUUUAUGCUAUCUUACUUGAUUUUGUGCAAUUAAAAACUAUAUUGAUAAUCGCAAUCUUACUUCAAAAUAGACAUGGAAUAAACUCUGUGACCUUGCUCAACACAAACCUUAUGCAGUUUGGGCUCUUUCCGUCUUUCAAAUUGCCUUCUUCCGUGGUUUUACAGGAUGAAACUGAAAUGACAGUCCAUGUCCACUUAAUGACCUCGGGUGACACUUUAGUGUAAAUGCCAUCUUUGCUAAGUACUCUCUUGUGAUCUUUAAGGAUUGUCUACUUCUUAAUAACUCUAUAGCCUAAAAAAUUCACUAUACAGGUAAGAAUAUCAGUCGAUGCAUGGUGGAGUGAACUAUGACGCGAAAUGGAAAGAUGGACCGAAGUCACAUAAUGGUGUCAUGCUAUUUUGCUCUAGUUUAAUCAGCCCUAAAUAUUGCCGUUUGUUUCAUACCAGUUUAGAGCAAUGUUUUAUGAACUCUUAUGUACAUUCUCUAGGCGUACUGCUUAAGUAAGAAUGCAAAUAUUAGUUUUUGGAUUCAAAUCUUCUGGACUGUUUACUUUGAUGUUCGUAUUAUCUGAAUUCUGGUGUAUAUUCUUUCCCAGUAACUUUUUGGUUAACUGUAUUUGGUUGAGCAUCUGUAACAUCGCUUUUAACCAAUCAGGUAUCACCAAGUAGUUAAGUAAAAAUAAACAUUUGCUGAUUAAUUAUUGGCUAAUAUAAUAUUCUUUCAUUUUUUAUUUUGCAGGUACCGGAGAAGAAUAUUGCUCAAAAUCUCUGUAAUCAACAUCGAAGUCCAGCGAAUUUGAGAUGAUGCUAUGUUAGUAUUUCCCUACCUACAGAAAUAUAUCUUUGAUUCUAUUUAUUUCAGUAUCAAUUUUCCUAUUUGUUCAAGGUAAAAUAAUGUGUCAUUUAUUCCUCAUAUAAUAUUUAAAUGAUAAUAUAUGUCCUUUUAUGAUAAUUUUAUAUCGGUCCAUAUAUAUGUAUGAAUUUUAUUGAAACUUUUCAUUUAGUAUUUUAAAUAGAAUAAACAACUGUUCUGUUAACAGAAUAAUAAAUAGAGUGUAUAACAUGUUACAAAGGUUAUUAUGGUUCAAAAAUUGGAAUUUAUUGGAAAUUACAAUAAAUUUUUUAAUUUAGAUUUUUUUCAUAUGCGUUACAAUUGUUUGUUGAUGAAAUUUCUGGUCCAAUCUCAAUAUAUAAUACAGUACUUUCAAUAUUUCAUCAACAAACUUAAAUAUAUCAAAUAAGAGGAAUUAUUUUUUCUUUAUUUCAUAUUCAUAUGACAAACAGAGCACAAGAACUCAAGAAGGACAAAUAUAAGCAAACUACAUAGAUGGCCUUCAUUCCCUCAUGCUUGUCCAUCACAAUUCUAUGUGUCAAGCUUCCUUAGUUUAUGCUGCAGAACCAAACGACAAGUGAAUAUUAUUAUGAGCAGUUGGUUUCUAUAAAAUCAUGUAACAUGACUUUGUAUGUGCAAGUUUGCAAAGGCCAUCUGUUUCAAAAUCUAAAAAUUGAAAAACUUGCGAGUUGCAGUUGAAGUUGGGAUCAGGAGAGAAGGAGACCGGAACGCCACAUUUCUGAGGGAUAGCAGCGACAUUUGAAAGCUGGACACCAUGGACUGCGGAAGAAGAUUGCUUAAGGCAGUUGCACAAC
rnacentral:lncRNA from 1 species